GACGAAAGUCUGACGGAGCAACGCCGCGUGAGUGAUGAAGGUUUUCGGAUCGUAAAGCUCUGUUGUUAGGGAAGAACAAGUGCAAGAGUAACUGCUUGCACCUUGACGGUACCUAACCAGAAAGCCACGGCUAACUACGUGCCAGCAGCCGCGGUAAUACGUAGGUGGCAAGCGUUGUCCGGAAUUAUUGGGCGUAAAGGGCUCGCAGGCGGUUUCUUAAGUCUGAUGUGAAAGCCCCCGGCUCAACCGGGGAGGGUCAUUGGAAACUGGGAAACUUGAGUGCAGAAGAGGAGAGUGGAAUUCCACGUGUAGCGGUGAAAUGCGUAGAGAUGUGGAGGAACACCAGUGGCGAAGGCGACUCUCUGGUCUGUAACUGACGCUGAGGAGCGAAAGCGUGGGGAGCGAACAGGAUUAGAUACCCUGGUAGUCCACGCCGUAAACGAUGAGUGCUAAGUGUUAGGGGGUUUCCGCCCCUUAGUGCUGCAGCUAACGCAUUAAGCACUCCGCCUGGGGAGUACGGUCGCAAGACUGAAACUCAAAGGAAUUGACGGGGGCCCGCACAAGCGGUGGAGCAUGUGGUUUAAUUCGAAGCAACGCGAAGAACCUUACCAGGUCUUGACAUCCUCUGACAACCCUAGAGAUAGGGCUUUCCCUUCGGGGACAGAGUGACAGGUGGUGCAUGGUUGUCGUCAGCUCGUGUCGUGAGAUGUUGGGUUAAGUCCCGCAACGAGCGCAACCCUUGAUCUUAGUUGCCAGCAUUUAGUUGGGCACUCUAAGGUGACUGCCGGUGACAAACCGGU
rnacentral:rRNA from 1 species